CGUGGUGGAGCUUAGUGGCAGAGUGUGUGCUUAGCAUGCACAAGGGUCAGGGUUCAAUCUCCAGCACCUCAC
rfam:Ictidomys tridecemlineatus contig046034, whole genome shotgun sequence.